UGGAUCCAGACUUUGAUUCUGGCUCAGGAUGAACGCUGGCGGCGUGCCUAACACAUGCAAGUCGAACGGAGUUACUUUAGUGUAGUUUUCGGAUGGAUCUGAUUUAACUUAGUGGCGGACGGGUGAGUAAUGCGUGAGCAACCCGCCCUUCAGAGGGGGACAACAGUUGGAAACGACUGCUAAUACCGCAUAAUGUAUCCGGGAGGCAUCUCCUGGAUACCAAAGGAGAAAUCCGCUGAUGGAUGGGCUCACGUCUGAUUAGCUAGUUGGUGAGGUAACGGCUCACCAAGGCUGCGAUCAGUAGCCGGACUGAGAGGUUGAACGGCCACAUUGGGACUGAGAUACGGCCCAGACUCCUACGGGAGGCAGCAGUGGGGAAUAUUGGGCAAUGGGCGAAAGCCUGACCCAGCAACGCCGCGUGAAGGAAGUAGGCCUUCGGGUUGUAAACUUCUUUUAAGAGGGACGAAGAAGUGACGGUACCUCUUGAAUAAGCCACGGCUAACUACGUGCCAGCAGCCGCGGUAAUACGUAGGUGGCGAGCGUUAUCCGGAUUUACUGGGUGUAAAGGGCGCGUAGGCGGGAAUGCAAGUCAGAUGUGAAAUCCAAGGGCUCAACCCUUGAACUGCAUUUGAAACUGUAUUUCUUGAGUGUCGGAGAGGUUGACGGAAUUCCUAGUGUAGCGGUGAAAUGCGUAGAUAUUAGGAGGAACACCAGUGGCGAAGGCGGUCAACUGGACGAUAACUGACGCUGAGGCGCGAAAGCGUGGGGAGCAAACAGGAUUAGAUACCCUGGUAGUCCGCGCCGUAAGCGAUGAAUACUAGGUGUGGGGGGACUGACCCCUUCCGUGCCGCAGUUAACACAAUAAGUAUUCCACCUGGGGAGUACGACCGCAAGGUUGCAACUCAAAUGAAUUGACGGA
rnacentral:rRNA from 1 species